CACGAGCGCCCGCACGAGCGCUCCCACAUCCGGCGGCGCAACCCGCAGCAGGUACCGCCUCACUGCGCUUACAGCGCCGCCGCGACAGCCCGGCCUCAUUUCUGCCCCAUCGGAGCACAUCACCUCUUCAGCUCGAAUCCCGGUUCUCCUCAGCGCUGCUCCGCUCCGCGCCUCACUGCACAACGUCCCUCCCCGCGCCGUGCUGUGCCGAGGAGGUUCCCCCUCAGCCCGGCCGCCAUUUCCCGCUUCUCCCCUCGCCGCCCCCCAGGCGCUCCCCGGGGCAGCAGCCCCUCCGAUCUACCUUGCCGAGCCCGGGAUUCUCCUGAAGCGACCGUCGCCUCCCACCGGGACGGAGAUCGGCGGCCACCUCGGUAGCGCCGGGCGGGAUCUCCCCUCCUCGGAGCCGCCCCCUCCUCCGCCCCGCCGCAGCUGCGUGGGGCCGGGCCGGGAGGACGGGCCUCGGGCACCUCCCCCGGCCGCGCGGCGGAGGAGGCUGCGGUGCGGGCAGGGGCCGGGGGAGAGAGUGCGGCGGGAGAUGGCGGCCGGGACGGGCUGAGCCGAGCGUGGGCCGCACCGGGGGAGCCAUGAGGCUGCUGCGCGCCCUGCUGCGCUGCGCCUCGCCGGGCAGCAUCCCGCAGCAGGUGGACUUCUACUCGCGCUUCUCCCCCUCGCCGCUCUCCAUGAAGCAGUUCCUGGAUUUCGGAUCUGAAAAUGCCUGUGAAAAGACUUCAUUUAUGUUUCUGCGACAAGAGCUGCCUGUAAGAUUAGCAAACAUAAUGAAGGAAAUAAGCCUGCUUCCAGACAAUCUUCUCAGAACACCUUCAGUUCAGCUGGUGCAGAGUUGGUAUGUCCAAAGUCUUCAGGAGAUCCUUGACUUUAAAGACAAGAGUUCAGAAGAUUCGGGGGCUAUUCACAGUUUUACAGAUACCGUGAUAAAAAUACGCAAUCGACACAAUGAUGUAAUUCCUACUAUGGCUCAAGGAGUGAUAGAAUACAAGGAAAGCUUUGGCAUUGACCCAGUGACCUCGCAGAACGUGCAGUAUUUUUUAGACCGUUUCUACAUGAGUCGCAUUUCAAUUAGGAUGCUCCUUAAUCAACACUCCUUACUGUUUGGUGGGAAAAUUAAUCCAGCUCAUCCAAAACACAUUGGAAGCAUCGAUCCUAGCUGCAAUGUUGUUGGAGUUAUUAGAGACGGCUAUGAAAGUGCCAAGAGUCUUUGUGAUUUGUAUUAUAUGAGCUCUCCAGAACUUGUCCUUGAAGAGUUGAAUAUUAAAUCACCAGGACAGCCCAUGCAAGUGGUGUAUGUACCGUCCCACCUCUAUCACAUGGUUUUCGAACUUUUCAAGAAUGCAAUGAGAGCCACCAUGGAACAUAAUGCUGAUCGAUGCAUUUAUCCUCCAAUUCAUGUGCAUGUCACCUUGGGGAAUGAGGAUUUAACUGUUAAGAUGAGUGAUCGUGGCGGAGGUGUUCCUAUGAGGAAAAUUGACAGACUAUUCAACUAUAUGUAUUCAACAGCACCGCGUCCACGUGUUGAGACAUCCCGAGCUACACCUUUGGCUGGAUUUGGUUAUGGCUUGCCCAUAUCACGCCUGUAUGCACAGUACUUCCAAGGAGACCUGAAACUGUAUUCCUUAGAAGGUUAUGGCACAGAUGCAGUUAUUUACAUAAAGGCCUUAUCAACAGAAUCGGUUGAAAGACUCCCUGUGUAUAACAAAGCAGCCUGGAAACAUUAUAAAGCAAACCAUGAAGCGGAUGACUGGUGUGUGCCAAGCAGUGAGCCAAAGGACAUGACUACUUUUCGCAGUACAUAGCUUUUUGCUCAGCAGCUCCUAAGAUGUGCCAGAUGAAUUUAGCAUCUAUGCUAUAGCCCUGAGUUAGUUGCAGCAGCCCUGUAUGAAAGCAAGCCAUCAUUUCCACUACUGUCUUCCCUGCAAAACAAGCUCCUCGCUGGGUGCAACGUUGAGUUCAGAAGACUUAAAGAAAAGAGGUGAAUGCAGUCCCCUACAGAAUGCAGAGCAGCUCUUAGCACCACCUCCUCCAUGCAGCAUGGAUUGGACCAGCUAGCAGCCUGCACCACACAAGUCCUCUGGAUGGUGCUAAUAAUUCCAACCGUACUAUCAACAUAUCAGUGAUUACUCUUGGUCUCUGCUGAAAAACUGGAUCUCUCUGUCUUGGCAACAGCAGAGGAUAUGGGUUCAAACUGAGUCAUCAGCCACAAGUUAUUAAAUGGCCCCAGGUCACCUGGCCAGCCAGGGACUCCAGCUGAAAACUAUGAAAAAAGCCAGAUGCUACACCUGAAGACUUCACAUUACCCUGGUAAGAAAACCCUUCUAAAGAAAACUAACAUGUAUUUUACAGGAUAUUUUCUAAUUUAACCACCUCAGUUUCUAACCCAGAUCCCAAUUUCUACCUUAUUUUUCCUUUAAUGAGCAAAAAAUACAUCUGUUGGAAGCACAUCUCAUGUAUUUACCUUUUUAAAAUCCUUAGCACUCAUUUUUACUGCCUACAAACUGUAAGCAAUUAUUUACCUUUAUUUCUGAAGUCUCUACUCAACUACAUAGACUUUGUAAGGAUGCCAUACCAUAUGUGUGUAAAUAAUCUGAGAUGCUAGAUUAAGUUGAUUUAAAAUCUACUUUUCAAAUGUAAUUUAUGCUACUAUAAAAUAACUUUUCUUUUGUUUCCUUUUUUGAGCACUUUCAUAUUUAAGUUCUUAUUUUGGUUUAACCUGAACUCUGAAUUUUCUAGGUUAUUCUAUCUUAGUUUUGGGGGUGGUAACUUGAUAUUUUCACUAUUUUACCCUCAAGUAUUGAUACACAUUUCCACUCUCCACCAUGACCACAAUCAAAACAAACCACAAUUUGACUCUUCCUGCUACUCAGUGGCGGAGCGUGACAUUCAACAUGGCUAGUAAGAUGCCUAACCCUCCAUCUAGAUUAUUUCAUUAAUUACAUUAGUUAGUUAAGGUGAUUUAAAUCUAAUAAUGUAAAUAAAAUCCAAUUGCAUUCAAUGUUUGGAGCUUCUUCAGUCUUUUACUGUAAAAAGUAUUACCAGAAACAAGAUAAUAUUCUGAUAAUUCUGAAAUGAGGAGCUCUUCUUUUAAAUUCCCUUAUUCAUUCCUUGCAGAGGAAUUGUGAACAAUUCACAAACAAAGUUGUGCUUCGGAAAGAAAAAAUAAAAAUUGAAGAGGACAGGGUAACAUUUGAGCCUCAACAUUUAAUGAGAUGAGAAAAAAAAAUAAAAUAAAAAGAAGAAAACAUAACCAAACUAAAAGUAUCUCAGUGUCUCAGCACCAGUUGUAAUGCAUUUUCUCUUCUCUUCUUCCUGCCCCAUUUCAGGCUUAGAUUUCCUUUUUAAGACUUAGGGCCAGUUGCAAAGACUUUUCAUUCCUGAAAAGAACUUGAAUAGAAAAGAUUCUGUAGGUAGACUUCUCAAGAUUUAAGGUAGAGAUAUAUAACUAAUUUACUCCACAGCAUUCUUCAUUGCAAUAAAAAUAAAACACUGCAUACAAGUUUACAGAAGAUAAUCUGGAAAAGUGAAGAAUGCAAACACUAUAUACAUGUUUGCACUGCAUUAGAGAACAGGAAAUCAGUGGGCAGAUUAUGUGAAGGGAUUUCUUCAAGAACCGUGUAAUUUUGAAGCUUUCUGAAGCUAAACUGUCUGCAAACAGAUCACAGCAUUUUAGUUUCCUGUGCUCCUACUUUUCAUAAGUAUUAAGAAUUUGGUUCAUCACUUUGCAAAGCUUUGAUGGCUAAGUUUGGUAUUAUUUUAAGAAAACAAGAUCUUCCAAGAUGCAAUAGUUACAAGAAGUUAAUGUCACAGAAAUGGGAAACAUUUCAAGUAUAGCUACAGUCCUUACACCAUCAGUCUUAAAACACAAAUACAUAAACGAGGCAAUGCCAAAGACUCUACCAGCUUUAGAGUCUUACAUGACAAGAGUUCUCUUCUACCUCCUCAGUAAGAAGUACUUUCACCUGCUUAUAAGUGAUACCGCAUGCAUAAGAGCAGAAAAUAUUACCACCAAGAAAAGGAAUAUUCUUUCCUUAAAUUCUACUAAGAUAAUUUUGUCCCUACCAUUACAUUGUUUUAGUAAGAAAACUCACUGCAGAGUGGCCAGGCACAUUUCCUUCUCAGUCUUCGAGUCUUUUCACCAGCAGGCGUACCAGCUAAAGAUUUCUUAUUUAUAGCACAGACUUAACAGGCUGGUUAGGAACUACAAAGAUAAGUCUUUCCAAGCAGCGUUUAUUGUUACAAUACAAGCUUUAGAAAAAAAAACAACCCAAGGUUGCAAAGUGAAAACAGCUUGACUUUGGAGAGGCUGUACAUGAUUUUAGGAUCAAUUAACGCAUAACGAUCUGUUCUUUGACAGGGUCAGCUUUCUGUUUUACAAAGCAGACGUAUAGCUGAAGACUACUAUAUGAUUCCAGCUGCUGGUUUGCAACUGGCGCUAAGGAAAAGAGCAAAGCAGCAAUUACAUACUGGAGCACAAGACGAAAGCUACAAAUAAAACAGUAGGCAAGAAACUAGCUGGAAGUUUAAAGUGAUGGAAAGCCUGGAAAAACAAAUAGAUGAGAAAGGAAAGUGUAUUAAUUCAGAAGUGUGAAAAAGAAGAGAGAAGACCUAAUUUGGUAAGCUUUAUGCAUUUUAGAUUGUUAACUAAAGUACAUAUAGAAGCAUAUUAAGAGGUGCUUAAGCAUAUUUUGAGUGCUUAUAGUAGAAAUGCAGCAGGGAGAUUUUUACUGUGCUCUGAAUAGUAACUUGUAUCAAGCAGGAAGGAGUAAUUAAGAGGCGAAAAACAGGUUCUUCUGAGGCAGCAAAAGCUAAGUCACUGAAUGUUUAUCUACAAAGAAAGUAUCUUGAUAACUUUGCUACAGCCUAUUAAGGUAUUCUCUUCAAUGUGGCUCUUGCAAUCCUGAUAUCUUUGGCAUAUUUAUGGGAAUGCCUUAGCUUCAAUAGAAGCAAAUAACAAAGGAAAGUAUAAGCACACAAGUCACACGCACACGUUCAGUAACAGUGCUCUGCAUAGGAUAGCUCUACUUACAGGAUUAAGGGGUUCCUACUCUGAUAAAGUUUUUAUAGUAAUGUUUGUUUCUAAACCCACUGUUUGUAUUUUUUGCAAACUCAUAUACUGUGUAUGUGCAAAGCUUAAACACAUGACAGCCACUCUAAAUUCACACUAAGAAAUCAGACAGUAGUUUAAAAACUGUUUUAUGAUAGGAUUUUAGCACACUUAAUAUCUGCAGACAUGGAAAGCCAACUUGUUAUCUAACAGUUAUGCAAAACAUCAGCAAACUCCACAAACUACAGCCCAGCAUGUUUUUCUCUCUAAUAGCAUUUAGGGAGAGCAGAAAGUGAAAUAAUUUUUUAGAAAAUCAGAGUGAAAAAGUGUGAAACUUAAGAACAAACUUAGUUUGUAAAGUUACUUAAAUAACUACAAUUUUGAAUCUGACAGAAUCCAAAGGAAAGAAGAAUAAAGGUAACUUGUUAAGACUAUCAGUAACAGUCUUACACUGACAAUAGUUUUUAGACAGCACACACAUUGUUUGUGGGCAUUUCUUUCAUGUAAUUUUAAUCCCACUACAGCCGAUGGGUAAACAAAGCUACAAAAUUGGGACACUACUGAACGUUCCACUAAACUUUUUAUUUUUCACAGCCAUUUCUUUCAAAUAAUUUAAACAGUAAAGAUGGGAUUUUCAUGGUUAUAGACUGAACCAUGUAAUCUCACUGUUAAAGUCUGGUUAAAGUGCUUUAACUUAUUAGAAUAACACCAGUUACUCAGAAGCAAUUUUCUAGAAGAGAGGGUUCUACAGAAACUUCUCUCAGCUUUAAAUACUUCUUUCAAAUGGGAUACUCGCACGGACUCAAGCUUUUGCAGUCAAGUUUAUAAGAGGUGAUGCCAUAAAUGUCUGCUAUCAAGAUUCCACAUACUAAGCACCACACAUUUUUACUUUGUCAAGAUACAAUGCUUAAAUAUUCAAAGCACAAAUUAGUCAUCUUUACCUUGCUUCUGUUCUUGUCUUGACCAUGUUCACAACUGUCCUGUCCACUCUGAGUAAAGUGCAGACUACUGCUAGAAACCUGAGGCUCUUUGUGACUGUCUCCAAACCACGAGAAAGGCAUGCAAGUCGGAACAGGAGAAUCCGAAUCUGAUGCAGACAGAUUGUUGCCAGAAUCAUCCAACAGUUCUCGAGAACCUCUAAAAUAAGUUGUUUUUAAAUAAAGCAAAAAUGAAAACCCAUAAGAAACAAGCAAACAAAAACAUUUGCACCUCUUUCACAGCACAGCUGAUUCUAAGAAUGAAAACUGAGACUCGCUGUGAAUAUCCAUGCAAAAUAAUUUGGGUUAUUGGUUAAUUUAAGAUCUAUUUCAAUAUUUCACAGUUCCAAAUAUGCGAUAAUCCACUCAACAUUCUUUUCCAUCCUAAGUAAAAUACAGUUACAGUAUUUAAGAUAGAGUGUAACAUGUCUUAUGAGCCACUUUACAAUGUAUCCUUGCUUUACUAUUUCCUCUAUGCUACCCAUUUUACUUUAAGCACUUUAGAACUUUUAGUUCCACUUUUUAUUAUGUCACAAGGUUAGAAGCUCAUCUGCAUAUUCCUAUAAUAAUCUACAGAAUUUUGUCACUGAUCUAUUUGAACAUACUUGAAGGUCAAACAUCAAUGAUGAUUUCAAAGAAAUUUCUUUGUUAAAAAUAUUAGGAGUGCAGAAUGUGUAACUGAAACAAAAAGAACAAAUACCUGCUAUCCAGAGAAACUCUUACACUUUCUUUCUCUUGUUUCUUGCCCUUGCCCCCAGACUUCCGUAAACCACUGAAAUGAGAAACACAAUUUUCAUGUAGUGUUUACAUUUACACAAUGCAAAACUUUUUUCAGUCAGUUUCAACAGUUAUAAAAAGCCACAUUACUAUUGUUACACAGAGCAUGGUCUUGUAAUUAUGCAUGCAAUUAAGUACUGUCAUUUAUAUUUAAGAACCAGGACCGAAUUCUGGCAAUUCCUUUCAAAAAUCACCAAUAUAACCAAGAUAAAUAUAGAAAAUGCCCAGAGAAACUUAACAAUCAGUGAAUUGACAAAGAGAAAGAACAUAAUUUUAUUGCUAGAUAAACAUGCAUAAGUCAGCACUACACGAUUUUCUCAACAGUUUGCUUUCAGAGAAUAUGACACUAUCCAAAAGCAAUACUGAAAGCCAUUCAUUUCCAAACUAACACAAACUAAUCUUACCCAAAAUCUGGAAAUCGCCUUUUGGACUUCCCUGAUGAUGUUCCUUCAUUUGUUUCAACUGUUUUGUCUUCAUUUUUUUUCUCUUCUGCUUUGCAUAGAGGGAUGAAAAAUAAAAACAUUGUUCUAAAAAUAACUAAGUUUCAAAUAUUCAUGCUGAAAAUUAUUCUAAAUAAAUAAGAUCCUAAAGCCUAAGUAACACAGUGUUUACAACAUUUAGUUGUCCUUCUGCACUUCUCUCCCUCAUCCUGAGUCAGUAAGCCAGUCCAGGCUGGCUAUUUCAAAGUAGUACUACAAGUAACUAGUAGUCAGUUCCUUUUCUUACCAAGAAGUUUAUUGCUCGAUAAUAAUUUAUAUCUAAAACCAUAACGAUCCCAAAGUAUUAAAGUAACAAUAAAAUCUUAGGUCUUACCCUUGGCCUCUUUUCCUUUCCCUUUUACUUCUCUUUGUUUAACAUUCUUGGUAUGCCCUUGAGGAGAAUUUGGAGCCAUCUCUCCAGGAGGAGGUGAAUGA